UACGGAGGGUGCAAGCGUUGCUCGGAAUUAUUGGGCGUAAAGCGCACGUAGGCGGUUCGUUAAGUCGGAUGUGAAAGCCCUCGGCUCAACUGAGGAAGUGCACCCGAAACUGGCGAGCUUGAGUACGAAAGAGGAUCGCGGAAUUCCCGGUGUAGAGGUGAAAUUCGUAGAUAUCGGGAGGAACACCGGUGGCGAAGGCGGCGAUCUGGGUCGAUACUGACGCUGAGGUGCGAAAGCGUGGGGAGCAAACAGG
rnacentral:rRNA from 1 species